UUCUGAGAUGCCAUGAGCCACACAAACACUUGGCGAGGAUGGGCCUAAAACCCCAAGCCAACUUUCACCAUUCCUAAAAAUAAUACACACUUAGAAGACACAGGUGUUGUCCUCCUGUGGAUCUCCCAAUGCUUCUCCAGGUCAUUCAAAUGUAGCGCGAAUCUCUCUGGCAAACAUUUAGCCUUUUGCCUAAAACUGAAGAAAAUGUUACAGCUUAACACAAAGGUGAUUAAAGAACCUGGAAAAAGGGAGACAAAAUGAAAGAGGAAAUAAAUUAGGGAGUUUUUGCAAAGUAGAAAAGUGAGGGUACCUUUUGAUGCUGGAUGUGAAAGGGAGACCUAAAAGGAGGAAUGAAAAGUUUUGAGAGGUAGUGAUCCAGGACUGAGCUGCAGAGAAGUGCGGGUGAUUGAAGAUGCUGCAGUAGGUGGAACCCCACCUCUGGGAACAGCCACCGCUAAUGGUGACCCUAAGGAGAAAUGUAUAGGCAAGAUAUGUGGCAGAAGGGACAAUAACUCCAAGGGGAACUAGGGAUCAGAAUACAGGAACACAGAUACAUCAUGUUGACAGAAUUCAUUUAGUCCCUGCCUUCUCUGCAAUACCUGACAUGCUACAAAGAGAAAACAAAAAAGAAGAGUGACAUUUCAAGAAAGAUGUAUAGCAAGGAAAAUGAU